rnacentral:rRNA from 1 species
UACAGAGGUCCCAAGCGUUGUUCGGAUUCACUGGGCGUAAAGGGUGCGCAGGUGGGUUGGCAAGUUUGAUGUGAAAGCCCCGGGCUUAACCCGGGAAAGGCAUUGAAUACUGCUGAUCUGGAGGAUCGGAGGGGGGGACUGGAAUUCUUGGUGUAGCAGUGAAAUGCGUAGAUAUCAAGAGGAACACCAGUGGCGAAGGCGAGUCCCUGGACGAUACCUGACACUGAGGCACGAAAGCCAAGGGAGCAAACAGGA